rnacentral:lncRNA from 1 species
UUCUCAAGGGAAGGUAUUUUGAGAUCAAAAGAGACUCCUUUUGAGGUUUCAUCUGAGGAAUGGAGAUAACACACCUUCGAGUUUUGAGAGGCUUGUGUGGAGAGUUCCCAUUUAACAUGGAGGACGAGUUCUUUGGAGAAGAAAGCUUCCAACAUUGUUGUGCAGAAUUCAUCAGACAUUCACAACAGAUAGGCGAUGGCUGGGAAUGGAGAACGGCCAAGGAAUGUUCUGAUGGCUACAUGUGCAAAACACAGUUUCAAAUAAAGAAAGAGACUCCAACACCACAUCGGGAAACACCCGCCAGUGUGCACACGUGUCUCCCCACAGA